GCCAUGACAGACUGUACCCUCAAACCUGAGCCGAAUAAGCCCUUCCUUCUCUGAGUUGCUUUUGUCAAGCAUUUUGUUACCGCCAUGACAAAAGUAACUAAGACAUGCCCAGACUCAGCCGCACACCUGUCCUCUGCUGCCAUCCAACCUGCAUUUUCAAGCUGUUUACUUAGUGACUGGUGUCCUAGGUACACCAGGCAGCUCACACCUGUCACUGUCUGCUAACUGGAGCCCAAUCUCAGGCCUAGGGCCUGCUGUGGUCAGUGACUCUGAGAUGUGCAAGAAUCAGACACACACUUUUCAUUUGCUCAGCUGUGACAGUUUGUCUCAGCUCUGUCAUGUGAGUUUCUGCAAGUGCUGCCUUAUCCUGAUACUAGGACUAUGGCUAUGUGGGAGACCAAACGGACCUGUGUCCUACCUGCUGAACUGCUCAUCUUCCUGAGCGCCUACCACAGAAGUGCUCCUAACACACAUUGAGGGGCCAUGUAUUAGCCUACCAGCCCUGACCUCUGCAAGAGAAGCAGUGUCCUAAUGGUGACCUGGCCCAGAUGUAGCUGCUGCUGUGUGAGGUCUCUGCCCCUGCUGCUCUCGCCUGUCUCUGACUGGGCUGUGUACUUAAACCUUCGGCCUGUUUCACCACCAGUCCAGUUUCCUGCUGGAAUAUGGAAUGAAACCUCUCUCUGAUACCUACUCUCGCAGUUCACUGGAGCCCUGCUCCUUAUCUGGCCACUUCUUCCUCCAGAGGACUAGACACUGAUUCCUGUAUAACCAGAUUGGGCCCCCGUUUCCAGGCUCUGAUCCACUUGCCCUCAUAUAUCCUGAAGGGCACACACUUAGAGACACUGGGCUACGUGUGAUCCUGAGGACCCUGCCUGUGUAUGGACCAGCCCUGACCUCAGUUUCCCUACUUCAAUCCUGCAUAUUUCUACCAUCUCCUCGAUUCUUGUCAACUACUGUCCUGAAGUCCUGACACACUACAAUGGUUCAAGCCUGGUGGGGUCUCCAUGGGUAGCUCACUGCCUCCUUUAGCCCCAUUCACUUACAAAGUUAAUUGUCUUAGGGAGUUGGGGCUCCCUGGCAUACUUCCCUGACAGUGCCUGCAGGAUGAAGCACCUGCUUCUCGGCUAAUGAGCACCCUGUGAGCAGCUACAUCAAGAUGGCCUGGACCACUUUGUUUAGAGACUAGCCAAGGUGACCAGUUUUGGAUAAACAAAGCGGGCAGGAUUCAGAAAAGGACUCGCCUCCUCUAGUCAGCUGCCCGGCCAUCUGUCAGAGAGGGAAUUCUUGGAACUGGAGCAUGGAGCUAAGUGUAGGAGUGAUGGGAAAAGCUGCUUCCUGCCCACAGGUAAGGGGGCCUGAUGCUGGCAGCUGGAAGUCAAGCUGCCCCUGAAAAAGGUCCCAGGAAAACCGUCCAAGGUUGGAGUAGCUGGAAAGCGCUCUCUGUCCCUCUUGGCCUGGAGCCUAUCUUGCUCAGCAGGUAGAAAAGGCAAAUUCUGUUCCCGAAAAUCAUGAAAUUUGGGGCACCCCUGAUGAGCCAGGCUCCUCUCUUGCUAUCCCAAUGAUUCCAAAAAAGGGCUCCAAGCUAAAUUAAUGAAACAACUUCUACUUGCUGAGGUUUGAGUGCAGCCCCCAAAGUUCUCAUAAGAAAUUUAAUCCCCACUGCAUCUGUGCUGAGAGGUAACAACUCUAAGAGGCAAUUAGGUCACAGGGCUCUGCAAUCUCCUGUAGAUUAAUGAUGAGAUUAAUGCUCUGGUAAUCACUCACCUCAAGACUAGGAUACAAAAUUGGGGAAGAAGAGGUUGGGGUAUAAUAGCCCUUCUGAUACCUGGAAGUCCCGCCACUAGCCCCACCUAUUAAAGUUUCUUUCACUUUCUUGCAGCUCAGACAGGAACCUUCCAAAGACAUUUGAAACCUAAGCCAUAGCAAUCAGUGCCCCACAGCCCUCCCUCUGUAUCAAGCUGUGGCUACUUCGUCUUGAACUUCAGAACCUAUAGAACAUUGAAUCCCCCCCCCAAAAUCAAUGCUCUGUAAGUUACUCUGACUCAAGUAUUUUAUCACUGCGUCCAGAGCUAAGUGAAAAACAUUAUUGACAUGAAACCUUCGGAAUAUAGAAGGUUCUUGAAAGGCUGCUCCAAGCCUUUUGUGACAUCAGGGACUGUGUACUCAGAAAAAAAAGUUGGCUCUUAUCAGCACUGCAGCCACCACCCUUUCCUGCAUAGUUAGUGUUCCGAGCUCCUGGAGGGUGAACAGCUAGCUCUCUUGUUUGAUGAGCUGGAGGCUGUGCUGAGGGAAAUACACAGGCUGCAGAGGCUGGUACAAGUGAUGGGGGCUGAGGUCCCACUGGCAUCUCUGUAAACUGAGCAGAAGCCCAUAGGCACCCGAUGCUGAGAGACUAUGCUCAACACAACAGCAGGCUGGAAGAAGCCACCCACCCCAAUGCCUGGUUCAAUACGAUCUGAGAGACCAACUGAAAUGCCUCCUCUUCUGUAAAGCCUUUACUUACUCUCAGGAUGAGUUAGCUAUUGAGAGUACCCUCUGCUGUGUAUACUUGAUCAUGCUAUUGCUCUCCACAAUUGGAAUAGAGCUGUCACAUCUGUUCUCCGUUCAGCUUGGAAAUCCCUGAGAUCAGUAACUGUGUCUCUUCAAUGCUUAUACCCUCUGUGUCUUCUGAGCUUAGGACAACACCUAGAGCAAAUUUUCUCAAUAAAAUUUUUCUGACUUUCUUUUUCUACCAAAUGAUAAGCAACCUGGGUUUUCUUCUCUACUAAUUUAAAGAUUCAUUUGUGUGUGUG